rnacentral:rRNA from 1 species
CGCGUAUCCAACCUGCCCAUCACUUGGGGAUAACCUUGCGAAAGUAAGACUAAUACCCAAUGAUAUCUCUAGAAGACAUCUGAAAGGGAUUAAAGAUUUAUCGGUGAUGGAUGGGGAUGCGUCUGAUUAGCUUGUUGGCGGGGUAACGGCCCACCAAGGCGACGAUCAGUAGGGGUUCUGAGAGGAAGGUCCCCCACAUUGGAACUGAGACACGGUCCAA